AUGAGCGCCCGUGCAAUUCUUUCGACCAAGAACGAUCAUGUGGAUGACCUGAAUGACAAGAUGAUCUCAAGGUUUCCAGGCGAAGAGAAGUUAUACCAUAGCUUUAACUCAAUCGAGGAUGACUUGCAGAAUAAUUACACAAUUGAUUUUCUGAACUCGAUCACACCAAAUGGCUUGCCUCCACAUGUACUGAGAUUAAAGGUCAACUGUCGGGUCAUUCUACUUCGGAACCUCGACCCUCAUAAUGGCCUAUGCAAUGGAACACGGCUUAUGAUUAGAGCCUUCUAG
rnacentral:rRNA from 1 species